CGCCAUUUGGUUAAAGGUAUUACUUUUUCAAGAUAUAUGGCAGCCAAUUACUGCGAACCGUGUACUGCGCGUGGUAUGACUACAACAGCAUCCCAAUGGUGUACCGAAUGUGAAGGAGCCCUAUGUUCCGAUUGUGCAGAGGCGCAUAGAGUUCACAAAAUGUCCAGAAAUCACCAUUUAGUUAAGAUAGGUAAAAUACCAGAACAAAUUAUUUAUCGUAUUAUUGUUCAAAUUAAAGCAUCAACAUUUACCUUUUGACUAUUUUUGUGUUGAUCAUGAUGUUAUUUGUUGUAAGGAAUGUUGGCCAAAAAAUCACCAAACAUGCAAGAACGUCACAUCAAUUGGCAUUGCUUCAAAUAAUUCUAAACAAUCGCAGUCUUUCCUGGAUUCUGAAGAACAGUGGCGUUUUAUUUUAAAGACAUUGGAAACAUUGAGCAAGAAUUGCAAGGAUAAUGGAAGUCUAAUUGAUAAAGAAGAAACCCAAAUUUUGAAACAAAUAAAGACAAUGAAAGAAAAUGUUAUCAAACAGUUGGAAGCUUUAGGAGAGUCGCUUUUAAAACAAUCAACUGAAAAGAAAGACAAAUAUGUAACCAGUUUGAAACGACAGGAUAAAAGUAUAAAGGACUUAUUAAACUCCACAAAAGCUCAAAAGGAAUCAUUGGUAUUCAUUAGAGAUCAUGGUUCUGAAAAACAAGCGUUUGUUUCUAUUUAUUCAUCCAAAAUAAUCUUAGAUGAAAUUGAAAACAAAGUUAAGCAGCUUAUCGAAUCGUUUGCAGACAUCAGUCUUACGUUCGUAGAAAACGGUUCGAAGGAAAAAUUAGCAGAUCUCGGAUCAAUAGAAGUAAAGGAAACACCUCGUUCCUUUCUGUUUGUCCCAUACAAGUAGCGUCAGUCACAGGUUCAAGUGGUUGUCAAGCGCCAGAUCACCUUUUUCACCCAUCUCUACGACAUUGAUAUGAGAGGCGAAAAAUUAAGAAAAGUAACUGGCAUCAUGGUAUCCGACAAUACCACCUUGGUUUUCUGUGAUGUACGCAAAAGAUUUAUUUUUGUGAUGAAAAUGAUAGCUACCAAUCAUUUAUCAGCUCUCCAUAUCAACCAUUGGAUAUAGCAACAAUACCAGGAACAACCACUGCUGUUAUGUCAAGUAGACCUGAACCGUACAUACAGUUCCUAGAUAUCGAAAGACGCAGGAUAUCAAAAAAGGUAGAAGUGGAACAAAGUGGAGGUUAUUGUGUUGCUGCGACAACGGAUAACAUAUUUGUAUGUACUAGAGAUAAUAUACAGGUCCUAGACUUAAAUGGAAAUAAUCAAAGAAAAGUUCGUCUAAAAUGCCGGUUCGGACAGAGCGCUGUUGGAUACAUUUCCGUUUGCUCAAAUGGAAACAUUUGUUAUUCAAGUGAAAAUGCAGUCCAUUGCAUUACAUUAGAUGAGUGUCCUAUUUUUUCCUAUGCUUCAUCCGAUCUUCGUUAUGCAAGAAAUACGAUAACAGAUGAUGCAGGAAAUAUAUACGUUUUGGAUUACGAUUCACAAAUAAUUCAUAAACUUACAUCCACUGGAACUUUAGUAGAGACUUUAUUGAAAGAUAAUUUGUACAGACCCCUUUCGUUUUGUUUCAGUAAGGAAUUAUCUAAAUGUUACAUUGCAAACAAAAUCGGAACAACAAUAUCAGUAUUCAAAACAAAUUAGUAUCACUUUGAGUAUGUUUUUGCACAUAAUUCUUUUGUUAAAGUUUUGAUAAAGUUUGUAAAUAAAAUGAACGACCAAU